UCUUUGGGUCCUCGGAGCUGAAAGAAGGAGACAAAAACAUCGAGAUUACUUUAUCCCCACCUGAAGAGGAACAUCAGACAUUGCUCUGUUUAAAAGCGGCAGCAAUGAGUGCAAAUGUGACAAUCUGCAGACCCAGGAUUCUGCACUGAUGACAGUGAAGCUAACAUGGCUGCCAGUGAAAACCCUGCACUGUGUGGUGAGAGCUGUGUAGCUCUGCUGCAGGCUGUUCUGAUGGGCCUCAUUUACCACCAGAUGGCAAUAUUGUCUUAAAUGUAUAGUGCAUUGCUCAUCUCUGACAGAACUUAACUUGGUCUAAAUUCUACUCCUGUUAUCUGUAAAUGUGAUCAAGCAGGUGUGGUGCUAAAGAUAAUAUUUCUGAGAAAUAAACUUACCAUUGCUUCA